CAACUGUGCUCUAAUUCGGCCGAUUCCAAGCUCAGUCAUCAGGGGAAGCCGGUCGAAAUCCGGCGCUGACCCGCAACCGUAGGUUCGCCGAGCACCUCAAGUACCCGGCGGGCGAGCCGGAUUACCUGGACUGAGGGCUAGCGAUUGA
rnacentral:ncRNA from 1 species